rnacentral:rRNA from 1 species
CUUGCAAACUGGAGAUGGCGACCGGCGCACGGGUGAGUAACACGUAUCCAACCUGCCGAUAACUCGGGGAUAGCCUUUCGAAAGAAAGAUUAAUACCCGAUGGCAUAAUGAUUCCGCAUGGUUUCAUUAUUAAAGGAUUCCGGUAAAGGAUGGGGAUGCGUUCCAUUAGGUUGUUGGCGGGGUAACGGCCCACCAAGCCUUCGAUGGAUAGGGGUUCUGAGAGGAAGGUCCCCCACAUUGGAACUGAGACACGGUCCAAACUCCUACGGGAGGCAGCAUG